rnacentral:misc_RNA from 1 species
AAUUAAGCCAAAAAGGAAAGAAAAAAACAAAGAAAACCUUGCUUGGUUUCAGCUCAGCACAUCUCCUUUUUGACUUAAAAAGACAACUUUCCACUUGUGAAAUGCCACUCAUUAGUGUCUCAGCACAGAGAAAGAAAAUUCAAAUUUGCAAAACUAUUCUUGCGGUGCUGUAUGAACCAAUAAGCAAUAUCAAGUUCAAUUAGAA